GCGUCUGUAGUGCAACGGUUCAGCACGCCCUCCCGGAAAGAAGGAGAUCGGGUUUAAAUCCCACCUGACUCA